CGAUAUGCCUUGGGUAGCUGUAAGUAAGCGAUGAUCCAGGGAUUUCCGAAUGGGGGAACCCAACAGGUACUACCUGUUACCCGCAUCUGUUAAGGAUGUGAGGAGGAAGACGCAGUGAACUGAAACAUCUAAGUAGCUGCAGGAAGAGAAAGCAAAAGCGAUUGCCUUAGUAGCGGCGAGCGAAACGGCAGGAGGGCAAACCGAAGAGUUUACUCUUCGGGGUUGUAGGACUGCAAUGUGGACUCAAAGAUUAUAGAAGAAUGAUUUGGGAAGAUCAGCCAAAGAGAGUAAUAGCCUCGUAUUUAAAAUAGUCUUUGUACCUAGCAGUAUCCUGAGUACGGCGGGACACGUGAAAUCCCGUCGGAAUCUGGGAGGACCAUCUCCCAACCCUAAAUACUCCCUAGUGACCGAUAGUGAACCAGUACCGUGAGGGAAAGGUGAAAAGCACCCCGGGAGGGGAGUGAAAUAGAACCUGAAACCGUGUGCCUACAACAAGUUCGAGCCCGUUAAUGGGUGAGAGCGUGCCUUUUGUAGAAUGAACCGGCGAGUUACGAU
rnacentral:rRNA from 1 species